AGUCAAGCGCUCUACCACGGAGACCACCUGCAGCCCAGCACAGUCUCAUGAACAGGGAAGAGCUGCUUAGUUGACUCUCGGGAUCAUCAAAAUUAAAAUGCAAUCAGAGAUCAGCACUCAGAAGAGCUAAUCAUGUCUUCAAGAGGACGGGGAAAGGGAAAGAGGCUAAGGAGGCCGGGGAGGAGACCCAUCAUCGAUCGGCAGGAGAUGAAGUGAAGGGGAUACAGCAUGUGUCAGGUGACCAGGAAACAAAAAUGACUGAAAAGCACUCAGUCUGCAUGGAUGGUUUGGAUGCAUGGUGGGUCCAAUGGCAGGAUGGAUGGACGGACAGAUAUAAGCAAGAAAGAGAGGCUGCUCGAAAGUAAAGGAGAACCUGGAUGUCACAGGAAAUCCAGCAAGGCAGGAGAUCCAGAUCUGACCCACAGAAUGGGUUAGGGAGUCCCAGGGAUAAGAAGCCAGAGACUCCCCUGUUGAGCUUCCA
rnacentral:lncRNA from 1 species